AAAUUUAUUUUAAUUUGAAAAAGUCUCUAUGGCUUACUACUUACUAAAAAAAUGCGCCCCGAACACCCGGGCGUACGCCCCAAAUUAUGGGGUGUACGCCCCAAAUUAUGGGGUGUACGCCUCUUGGGAUUUUCGCCCCACACCAUCUCCCCGGGGCGUUUUUGAUACGCCUCGCCCCGGAAACGCCUUUUAAAACAGAGCAGUUUACCAUUAUACAAUUCCUAAGCAAUAAUUGGUACUUUCUUACCCGAUAAAAGCAGAGAACAUUGCCUCCAAGAUUUCUCUAUAUCCAGCAAUUCAAGACUACUAAGUCUAAGGCAAGUAGAAAUAACUAAAAAGUCAAAAGGCAACACUAAAAUUAUAAAAUAAAUUAAUUGGAAAAAAUAGAGUCGAGGAGCAAACAAAGACAAGAUUUACGAAAGGAAGGUUUAGUUGGUAACAAAUGGAUUAACAGACCAGAAUGUAGCAUAAGAUUCAAUUCUACACAUAAUUAUAAAUAGAAGGCUAGAUUUUGAAGCACAGAGCUAAUUGAGAAACGCGGUACCUCGGAUGCUACCACAGUUAUCACUUCCAUAUAUAAUGCACAAGUCUAUGAAUUGAUCUAUUAUAAGUUCCACCUACUCUAAUAACUGGGAAAAGAUAUAUAUCAAACUAUGUACUUAACAUCAAUAGAAAAAGGAAAACCUUCAAGUUCAUUUUACCUUGAAAAUUUUAAAUUUCAUCACUAGAUCUUCUUGUGGUUCGGCCCUUCUUCGGACCCCGCGCAUAGCGGAAGCUUAGUGCACGGAGCUAUCCUUUUUAUCACUGGAUCUUCUUAGAGCUAGGAUUUAUUAAAUGGCGAAGGAAUCUCGAAGUUCCAGAAGUUAAGAAAUUGAUAUCUUUUCAGUCCACAACAAAAACCUGACAAGUAGAGAAACUUGUCAUCCAAUACUCAUCUAUAGGGAUGGUAGACGAAUUACUACAAGUGAUGCAUCUUAAUGAAAUUUAAUUUUACAAAUGUAAGCCAUAAGUAUAUCCUUUAUAGUAAUAUAGAUUAGAUGGUCUAGUGAUAUGGAUCACCAUGCAAGUUAUUAAUGCCUUCUGCUACACCCAUCAGUAAGUUAUCGAUGUCCCAACCUGAAUUAGGUGAAACUUUUCAUAACCAAAUUGGUACCAACACACAACAAAGACAAUAACUGCAAAAGAAAAAUGCAACUUUUAUAUAGAGUAGUUUAAAUUAAUCUUAUAAUGUAGUACUUCUAAUUCAAGAGUCGUCUCUGUUGUAUCAAUGUUUCUAUGUCAAAACCUUAUGAUCUACUUUUCUUUAAUGAGCAUUUUUUUCUUCCUAAACAUAUAUGUACCAAAGUUAGAAGAUCGAAAGAACUCCAUGUCUGUAAAAGAAAAAUAAGAAGUGCAUACCCCGAAGAUGGGUCUAAAUGUUCAACAUACCAUCAAAACAUGGAAGAGCGCCAACUUCCAGAUAUUUUUCUUGGCCAACACAGAAAUCACACAAUCAAGGCAUCAUUUUUAUACAGAGAGGAAUUAUAAUAUGAAAAACCUUUAACAGAUCCCCAAUUUUGAUUAAAUGCUUCAAUCAAAAGCAAAAUGUUCGGCUCGACAAUAAAUUAAUAAGUCGAACAAGAAAGGAAUGAUAAAAGAAAAAACCCCCAAAAUCCCCAUGUCAAUAAUAUGACUUCAUUCAAAUACACUACCGUACAAAGUUUUUGAAAUGAAAUUUGCUUAUCUUCCGAAAAGCAAAGAGUGCUAUAACAAAAAGUUAUACUUACAACUUUCUUUUGUUCUCCCGCAGCUACCAAUUUCCAGCGAGGAAAGCGCUACCGCCGCGAAGAUGGCUUUGGGAAGAAAUAUUUUCUAGCCAACAAGGGAAAAUAUCAAAAAAUACUCACCACAUACACCAACUAUGAAAACCCUAAGCGGACAUCAAAAAUCCUGCUCUAACAUACACUUUAUCAAAACUCUAAUUUCCUAACAUCCUCUUUUUUCUCUCCCACUCUCACACUGAACUCGGUACUUUCUUCUUUAAUCUUUGGAGAAAAUAUAAAAUGAAAAGAUAACUUUUGAAAACAAAAAUUACUUGCCUGGAUAUAAUCAUAUAUGGACUAUGAAUUUGAAAUCCUAAAUCAAUUUUUUUUUAUCUUAACCUACCCCUUUUGUCGAUGGCCAUCGACCUCCACAGAUCUAAGAGAACUCGUUGAUUAAGCCUUUAGAUUGUUAGAUGCGUUCUUCAAAUUUGAGAUACAUGUGGUCUUUAGAUCUUAAGUGUGUUAAAGCCUUUUGGGAGGUUGUCUCGAGGUGUAUGUAUAAGAAAUAAAAUUAAUAAGGUAAAAUAGAAAAUAAAAGCGCUGGUUU
rnacentral:lncRNA from 1 species